rnacentral:rRNA from 1 species
CCUACGGGAGGCAGCAGUGGGGAAUAUUGGACAAUGGGCGAAAGCCUGAUCCAGCCAUGCCGCGUGUGUGAAGAAGGCCUUCGGGUUGUAAAGCACUUUCAGUGGGGAAGAAAGCCUUGGGGCUAAUACCCUCGAGGAAGGACAUCACCCACAGAAGAAGCACCGGCUAACUCCGUGCCAGCAGCCGCGGUAAUACGGAGGGUGCGAGCGUUAAUCGGAAUUACUGGGCGUAAAGCGCGCGUAGGCGGUCUGAUAAGCCGGUUGUGAAAGCCCCGGGCUCAACCUGGGAACGGCAUCCGGAACUGUCAGGCUAGAGUGCAGGAGAGGAAGGUAGAAUUCCCGGUGUAGCGGUGAAAUGCGUAGAGAUCGGGAGGAAUACCAGUGGCGAAGGCGGCCUUCUGGACUGACACUGACGCUGAGGUGCGAAAGCGUGGGUAGCAAACAGGAUUAGAUACCCCGGUCGUC